rnacentral:rRNA from 1 species
GGACUACCCGGGUUUCUAAUCCUGUUUGCUACCCACGCUUUCGUGCCUCAGCGUCAGUGAUGGUCCAGUAAGCCGUCUACACCACAGGUGUUCCUCCUGAUAUCUACGCAUUUCACCGCUACACCAGGAAUUCCGCUUACCUCUCCCAUACUCAAGCCCUCCAGUUUUCGGCGCACCCUCCCGGUUAAGCCGGGAGAUUUCACACCAAACUUGGAGAACCGCCUACGCACUCUUUACGCCCAGUAAUUCCGAACAACGCUUGCUGCCUACGUAUUACCGCGGCGGCUGGCAC